CACCGCCCGUCACAUCAUGAAAGCCGUUUGUACCCGAAGCCCACGUGCUAACCGCAAGGAGGCAGUGGCCGAAGGUAUGGAUGGUGAUUGGGAUG
rnacentral:rRNA from 1 species